GCACUGCUGAGGAGUCCCACAAUAGGACGAAAUGUCCAUCCAGUAC
rfam:Schistosoma rodhaini strain Burundi genome assembly, scaffold: SROB_scaffold0000242